rnacentral:lncRNA from 1 species
AAAUAGACAAUAAAUGCAUAACUUCUGCUCUGAAGGUAGAGAUGACCAACGGGCCAGGGCGGCACGAGGCACGGCACGAGGCACGGCACGAGCACGUUUCAGUAGGGCACGCGGCACGGUACGACACACUUGUGGGCCGUGCUGGGCCUUAAAAGCACGACACGAUUAGAGGUGGGCUAAAGUACGACACACGAAAAGGUACGUAAUAAGUACGCUUCAUUAGUGGGCUAAGCACGUGGGCCAAAAUAUAUCAAAGUAAAAAUUUUUAAUGAAAA